rnacentral:pre_miRNA from 1 species
AGGAGGAACAACGACAGUGGCAGCGGCAGCUCUGGAAACCUGGAUUCCUUCCGCCCAGUAACUCCAGAGCUCUCAGUCUGCAGAGCCUGGAUGCUCCGGGGGCUG